rnacentral:lncRNA from 1 species
UUGCAUGGAGUUGACAAUCAAGGAAGCUUCUCUGGCAUAAGGCAAGAGGAACAUAUCCAUGUUUUUACAUUGCCAAGUUUAGCUGGAUCCUCUGGCCUAAUGGCAGAUGAUUCUAUGGAAUAGUGACAGCAUCUUAAUGAUAGAUAAGGCAGAAUUGGUGGGAAGCACAUGGAAUAUUAUAAAGUAGGUGAUUGCAAUUUGUGAAUAUAAAUGAUGUGAAGUUGUCUCCACCUCACAUUCUUGAUAGUACAGACUACAGAACAAGCAAGCAGUCAUCUGCAAGAAGAGAACACAUGGGCCUUGUUUUUUACUCUGUUUAUAGCUGUUGGGAAAGUCUCUACCCAUUUUUGCACAAGAUCUCCCACUCCUGACAAAGCUGCCUGCAUCUUACCGUAUCUUCUUAAUCAUUGGCAGAGAAUUCUUCUAGUAGCAUGUAGCAGUAAAUUCUAACUUUGUCUUCUUUCUUUAGAUAUGCAGCUUAAUGUAAAUAGUAGAAUUCUAA